rnacentral:rRNA from 1 species
GACAGAGGCCUCAAGCGUUAGGCGGAAUCACUGGGCUUAAAGCGUGUGUAGGCGGAUCGUUAAGUGUCUUGUGAAAUCCCACGGCUCACCCGUGGAACGGCUGGGCAUACUGGCGAUCUUGGGCCAACUAGGGGCAACUGGAACAAGCGGUGGAGCGGUGAAAUGCGUAGAUAUCGCUUGGAACGCCGGUGGCGAAAGCGACCUGCUGGACCUUUUCUGACGCUGAGGCGCGAAAGCUAGGGGAGCAAACGGG